rfam:Hordeum vulgare subsp. vulgare, WGS project CAJW01000000 data, contig: morex_contig_244537
UUAGUACUCCCUCCGUCCGAAAAUACUUGUCCUACAAAUGGAUGUAUCUAGACUUAUUUUAGUUAUAGAUACAUUGAUUUUAUUCAUUUUUAGGACAAGUAAUUUUGGACGGAGGGAGUACAUG